AGAGUUUGAUCCUGGCUCAGAUUGAACGCUGGCGGCAGGCCUAACACAUGCAAGUCGAGCGGAUGAGUGGAGCUUGCUCCAUGGUUCAGCGGCGGACGGGUGAGUAAUGCCUAGGAAUCUGCCUGGUAGUGGGGGACAACGUUUCGAAAGGAACGCUAAUACCGCAUACGUCCUACGGGAGAAAGUGGGGGAUCUUCGGACCUCACGCUAUCAGAUGAGCCUAGGUCGGAUUAGCUAGUUGGUGAGGUAAAGGCUCACCAAGGCGACGAUCCGUAACUGGUCUGAGAGGAUGAUCAGUCACACUGGAACCGAGACACGGUCCAGACUCCUACGCGAGGCAGCAGUGGGGAAUAUUGGACAAUGGGCGAAAGCCUGAUCCAGCCAUGCCGCGUGUGUGAAGAAGGUCUUCGGAUUGUAAAG
rnacentral:rRNA from 1 species